rnacentral:miRNA from 1 species
ACCCCAAAGUGCUCCAAGAUACAAGAUACUGCAAUAUAUAUAUAUAUAUAUAUAUAUAUAUAUAUUGCAGUAUCUUGUAUCUUGGAGCACUUUG